rnacentral:rRNA from 1 species
UAGUGCCUACGGGGGGCAGCAGUGGGGAAUAUUGCACAAUGGGGGAAACCCUGAUGCAGCGACGCCGCGUGGGCGACGAAGCGCUCCGGCGCGUAAAGCCCUGUCAGCAGGGAAGAACAAAGACAGUACCUGACCAAGAAGCCCCGGCUAACUACGUGCCAGCAGCCGCGGUAAUACGUAGGGGGCAAGCGUUAUCCGGAUUCACUGGGCGUAAGGGGAGCGCAGGCGGCACGGCAAGUCUGGAGUGAAAGCCCGGGGC